UUCCGGUUGAUCCUGCCGGAGGUCACUGCUAUCGGGGUUCGAUUAAGCCAUGCGAGUCGAGAGGGUUCAGACCCUCGGCGGACUGCUCAGUAACACGUGGAUAAUCUGCCCUAUGGUGGAGGAUAACCCCGGGAAACUGGGGAUAAUACUCCAUAAGUCAGGAGUACUGGAAUGUCUCCUAACUGAAAGUUUCGGCGCCAUAGGAUGAAUCUGCGGCCGAUUAGGUAGUUGUUGGGGUAACGGCCCAACAAGCCCGUAAUCGGUACGGGUUGUGGGAGCAAGAGCCCGGAGAUGGAAUCUGAGACACGAUUCCAGGCCCUACGGGGCGCAGCAGGCGCGAAAACUUUACAAUGCAGGAAACUGUGAUAAGGGAACCCCGAGUGCCCGUACACGCGGGCUGUCCCGGUGUUUAAAACACAUCGGAAGAAAGGGCCGGGCAAGACCGGUGCCAGCCGCCGCGGUAAUACCGGCGGCUCGAGUGGUGACCACUUUUAUUGGGCUUAAAGCGUUCGUAGCUUGAUUUUUAAGUCUCUUGGGAAAUCUCACGGCUUAACUGUGAGGCGUCUAAGAGAUACUGGGAAUCUAGGGACCGGGAGAGGUAAGAGGUACUUCAGGGGUAGAAGUGAAAUUCUGUAAUCCUUGAGGGACCACCGAUGGCGAAGGCAUCUUACCAGAACGGCUUCGACAGUGAGGAACGAAAGCUGGGGGAGCGAACGGGAUUAGAUACCCCGGUAGUCCCAGCCGUAAACUAUGCGCGUUAGGUGUGCCUGUAACUACGAGUUACCGGGGUGCCGAAGUGAAAACGUGAAACGUGCCGCCUGGGAAGUACGGUCGCAAGGCUGAAACUUAAAGGAAUUGGCGGGGGAGCACCACAACGGGUGGAGCCUGCGGUUUAAUUGGAUUCAACGCCGGG
rnacentral:rRNA from 2 species